GAUGAACGCUGGCGGCGUGCCUAAUACAUGCAAGUCGAACGCAUUGUGGUUGAAAUGAUAUGAAGAACUUGUUCAGAUUUGAUUUUCAACAUUGCAAUGAGUGGCGAACGGGUGAGUAACACGUGGGAAACCUACCUCUUAGCAGGGGAUAACAUUUGGAAACAAAUGCUAAUACCGUAUAAUAAUUAAAACCGCAUGGUUUUAGUUUAAAAGAUGGUCUUGCUAUCACUAAGAGAUGGUCCCGCGGUGUAUUAGUUAGUUGGUGAGGUAAUGGCUCACCAAGACAAUGAUACAUAGCCGAGUUGAGAGACUGACCGGCCACAAUGGGACUGAGACACGGCCCAUACUCCUACGGGAGGCAGCAGUAGGGAAUCUUCCACAAUGGACGAAAGUACUGAUGGAGCAACGCCGCGUGUGUGAUGAAGGGUUUCGGCUCGUAAAACACUAUUGUAAGAGAAGAACUGACAAUUGAGAGUAAACCUGUUUCAAAUGUGUGACGGU
rnacentral:rRNA from 1 species